rnacentral:misc_RNA from 1 species
CUAGGCUCUUCAAGUCUCGAUGAUCCUCCUCAAUUUAUUACGAAAUUAAAACUAUUAACAGCGCACGAGCUCUCGUUGGAUGAUCUACAAAUAUAAAUGUGGUGGGAUAAGGAGCUGAGUAUAGGCUUUCAAAGAGGUUUCUCAUCCCCUUUGUAUUCAUAGAUUAGAUACUUGAAUUCAUUGUAUCCAAUUUUUUCAGCCUUGGAAGUAAAAUGUCUGCUGCCUGAUAUUGGUAGUGGAUUGGUCUGCCUGGAUCUGGAUUGUGGGAAAGCAUCCUGCAUAACCAGGUUCUGCAUUUCAUUUGUGGUUUGUGAUUGAUCUGCUGAGCAGUUUACAAUUUGUAUAAAAUCUUAUUUUACUAACCAAUAGGAAAACAUCAAUUAAACUGCUACAUAUUUGAUACAAUCAAAU